rnacentral:rRNA from 1 species
UACGUAGGUGGCAAGCGUUGUCCGGAAUUAUUGGGCGUAAAGCGCGCGUAGGCGGCCGCGCAAGUCGGAUGUGAAAACCCGGGGCUCAACCCCGGGCGUGCAUUCGAUACUGCGCGGCUCGAGACAGGUAGGGGAGAUCGGAAUUCCUGGUGUAGCGGUGAAAUGCGCAGAUAUCAGGAGGAACACCGGUGGCGAAGGCGGAUCUCUGGGCCUGUUCUGACGCUGAGGCGCGAAAGCUAGGGGGAGCGAACAGG